UACGUAGGGCGCGAGCGUUAUCCGGAAUUAUUGGGCGUAAAGAGCUCGUAGGCGGUUUGUCACGUCUGCUGUGAAAACUGGAGGCUCAACCUCCAGCCUGCAGUGGGUACGGGCAGACUAGAGUGCGGUAGGGGAGAUUGGAAUUCCUGGUGUAGCGGUGAAAUGCGCAGAUAUCAGGAGGAACACCGGUGGCGAAGGCGGGUCUCUGGGCCGAUACUGACGCUGAGGAGCGAAAGCGUGGGGAGCGAACAGG
rnacentral:rRNA from 1 species